rnacentral:rRNA from 1 species
AGAGCGAACGCUGGCGGCAGGCCUAACACAUGCAAGUCGAACGGACUCUUCGGAGUUAGUGGCGGACGGGUGAGUAACACGUGGGAACGUGCCUUUAGGUUCGGAAUAGCUCCUGGAAACGGGUGGUAAUACCGAAUGUGCCCUUCGGGGGAAAGAUUUAUCGCCUUUAGAGCGGCCCGCGUCUGAUUAGCUUGUUGGUGAGGUAAUGGCUCACCAAGGCUACGAUCAGUAGCUGGUCUGAGAGGAUGACCAGCCACAUUGGGACUGAGACACGGCCCAAACUCCUACGGGAGGCAGCAGUGGGGAAUCUUGCGCAAUGGGCGAAAGCCUGACGCAGCCAUGCCGCGUGUAUGAUGAAAGGUCUUAAGGAUUAGUAAAAAUUACUUUCACCGGUAGAAGAAUAAUGACUGUAGUCCGGAAGAAAGGAAAGACCCCGGCGUAACUUCGCGCCCAGCAGCCGC